rnacentral:rRNA from 1 species
UACGUAGGGUGCAAGCGUUAAUCGGAAUUACUGGGCGUAAAGCGUGCGCAGGCGGUUUUGUAAGUUUGGCGUGAAAGCCCCGGGCUCAACCUGGGAAUUGCGAUGAAGACUGCAAGGCUUGAAUCUGGCAGAGGGGGGUAGAAUUCCACGUGUAGCAGUGAAAUGCGUAGAGAUGUGGAGGAACACCGAUGGCGAAGGCAGCCCCCUGGGUCAAGAUUGACGCUCAUGCACGAAAGCGUGGGGAGCAAACAGG